ensembl:lncRNA
UUUAACUUGAGUUUCUUUCUUCACUUAACCCGUUUGAUCCCAGAUUUUUUCCAGACAUGAAACUAUUCAGAUGAUGUGUCAUUAUUAACCAUUUGAAAUAAUCAAUCAUUAUUUUUGAAAUUUUAAACAGCUUUUUAAACUUUUUGAUCACAUUCUAAUGUUACAAUUAUGCAUAAAAACCCUUAUACAACACUGAUAGGAAUAAUAAGAUAAACAACAAAAAAAUACAACCAUCAACAUACUUUGAUGGUUGAAAAAACAAACAAACAAAAAAACUGUUCAAAAGAAUGAUUAGUUUGCAAACCGGACAUCACUACCCAGCAGUUUGAAAACACCCACAAAGUCAGAAAUGCCCACUUUUGCUCUGCAGAGACCUAAAUCUUAGACAGGUGUUACUAUAACGAUUUUGUAAAUAAUUAUGAUGAUGAUCAUGAUGAUGAUAAAUGAUGAUCAGCAACCAGAUAUUGAUAAUGUGGAAGUUACUGCCUUUUGCCUUGGUGUGACUUCUCAUGUUUUGCAGACAAUGCAAAGGCAGAGUACAUUACCUUCAAACUAAGGGUAAAAAUCAAGUUUGAGCUCAUUUUUUUUUAAUGUAGAUCAUUUUCAUUACUAAAACAUCUAAUUGUUAAAUUAAAUGAAAACCUUCUUUAUGGUCACUAUUGUGAACGGAGUUAAAUAUACUUAUAUUCCAUUUAAAUAGGAAAGAACAGUAAACUCUACUUAAAUGACUUUAAAUUGAAAUUGUGAUUUUCUCACAGUAAGAAUGUGAAAAUGGUCAACUGAAAUGUUUCAAUCAGUUCUACAGUACACAAAUAAUGAUAAUGAUAAUGAGUGAUAAUUGUCCAAACUAAAUCUAGUAUCCUUAAAUCCUAGCAAGGAAUAUGUUUAUGGUUCUGUAAUUAGGUUUUCAUGUUUUGCUGGUGUAUUAGUGUGCUAUAUGAAAUUUAGUUAUGAUGCAUUUAACUCACACAAACCUAACAUGGAUAUGAUUCAUUGUCUUUUCUCUUUCUGUCUUCAGUCUGUGUGGGUGCAGAAUUACAGAGAAACAUUGUCUCAUCCUCACUUCAGAACUGUGUUCAAACCUUUCACACCUGAGAGAGCUGGACCUCAGUGGGAAUAAAAUAGAAAACAAAGGAGUGCAGAUCCUGUGUGACAUACUGAAUAAUUCACACUGUAAACUAGAGAGAUUGAGUCUAAAUGACUGUGGCAUUACAGAUGUUGCUUGUUUGGCUCAGACUUUGGCUGAAACAAAAGUACUGCUGUUUUUAAAAGAGCUUGAUCUGAGUAACAAUAAAAUAGGAGGCUCAAAGCAGCAGCUCAUUGAUGUGCUGCAAGACUCAAACUGCGAACUGAACCUGGAGAAAGAGCAUUUGCUCAGCUGGAUAGCUGGUGUGAACUACAUUGGUAGCUUUGGUGGGUGGUUAACAUCCUGGUCUAAAGCUCAGGAGGAUCCUGUGGAAUCAACAGAACAAGAAAAGGUCCUCGUUAGAUGAGGAAUUCUCAGCAGGUUCUCCAUUUUGUACUGUAACAAAUCAACAUGUGUGGUGGUAAUUUUGCCGAGAUAUUGCUAGACCGCAAUUAAGAAAUACAGAAAUGCCAAAUUUACAGCUACUACAACUUCAAAUAGCUGCUUAACAAAUCGAAAGUUUACAGGUGGAAAAGGCUCAGACCUUAAAAUUUAAUUAUGCAGUAUUAAUAGAAGCAUGUGAGUACUGUUACAUGCUUAUUGUUAGUGUAGUAUUCAGUUUAAGGUCUACAUCAUGAUGUUUGGAUUAAACUCUUCCAUAAUGAAUCACUGUGAUAUCAAAUGAUACAAACUGAAAGUCUAAGAUUAAAUUUAAUUAUUGUGGGCUACAUAUACAUAGAUUCAAAUAAGUCCUAUCAAUAUGUUAUUUUUUAUCUCUUAUCUUUACAUUUGUUUUGCAUAUAUUUUAUUUUUUUCUUAUAUUUUAUAUACAAAAUAUAUUUAUUUAAAUUUGUAUUGUUAUGUAUUCUUCUGUCUCAUCAUGAGCAAAUAGCCUGUGUCUGUAGAUAAGACACAUAAGUGCUUUGAUUGACAUUAGAUGGAGUCUGUUCUCUACAUCGACCCAGACUAAGCAAUCUUUAGUAUUGCCAGUUGACUACUUAUGUACCCAAAAUCCCCAUAUUUGAAGUUGUUGCUUUCAAAGUCAGCAGUCUAGAUAAUAUAAUUAUUUUUGUUUAACAGUUACCAUCUUCCUUUUUGCCAUUGUUUUGUAUUGUACUGUAUUAUGUAUUGGCAUAUUGUAAAUGUAGGGUCAUAUAUACUUUUAUUUUCAGUCUUUAUUCUUCUCAUACUGUGUAAUAUUUUUAUAUGCAAGGCUGAACUACCUUCUAUGUUUCCGUUAAGAACUGAUCAACAAGUACAUGUUGCAACCAGGGGAAGUAUGCUAAUGCUUGAGCAGACAGAGAGGGAGAUAUAUGUAGUAGUGAUUUCUGUGUUCUGGGCCACUUCUCAUCUGUCAUCUGACACUUGACUAGUAAGUGACAUUAAUAAAAGACUAUUUAUCUCCA